GUCUUCAAGCUCGACACAACCAACAUUCCAGGACAGAAUCGCUUUGAACUUGAAAGGAUUUGAUAUGGAGGUAAGCAGUAAAACACCAGAGAAGAACAAAAUCAGCAGCACGCGAUGUGACUUUAGUCCAUCUUUAGAGUCAUGUCCUGGCUUUUGUACAUAUAUGUUCAGGCUGGGGACAGACAUAGGAAACUCAUCCCAGACCAUGGAUAUCUGUGAUGAUGUGGAACCUUUUAGUCAAACUCUGUUGACGGUUGACUAUGGGGUGCUCUGUGAAAUUUUGGGAGGAUCCCCCAACCCUUCAUCCCCGGCUGUCCCUCCCGCAAGAGGGUUCAACAGCAAACUCCAGGCGAUGGAGAGUGGAGGUGCUCAAACCCUGUGCCAACAACCACUGCAUAGUCAAACUAUUGUGCAGUCAAGGAGUCACCAAAAUGGACAGGCAGGUGCUCACAGUCAGGGACAGGACCUGGGCACAGCACAUCAGAGUCUGAGCAGACUAGAGACCGAGCUGAGAGCGUCAAUGCAGUCCAUGGAUCCACGUAAUGAUUUGGAGCUCAUUAUUCAGAGGAUGUCAGGGGGAGAGUUGCCGGACAUCGACUUUGAGGUGCUCCAUAAAAUUUUGGGAGACUCACCAAACCCUCUACAUCCUCUGAAUGUCCCUGCGAUGAUGGGGUUCAGCACCCAAUCUCAGGGAGUGGGAAGUGGGAGCAGAGGGAGCAGCAAACCACAAGGAGCAGAUCCAUCCAGCCUCCAUCAACCGUCAAUGACGGCUGCUGGACAGGCUGCUUCCACUCUGAGCCAACGCUUGCUGCAUAAUCAAAUUAUGAUGCAGUCAAGGGGUCACCAAAAUGGCCAGGCAGAUGCUUACGGCCAGGGACAGGAGCACAGCACAGCAAAUCAGAACAGAGUAGAAAGAGAGCUACACGCGUCAAUGCAGGUGAUGGAUCUGAGUGAGGAUUUGGAACUCAUCUCUCAGAGGAUUUUGAAAGGAGAGUUGCCAGACAUUGACAUUAAAGUGCUCCGUAAAAUUCUGGGAGAAUCACCCAACCCUCUACCUCCUCCUAAUGUUCCUGCUGCAACAACACUGGGAGCAGCUCCAUCCAGUCUUCAUCAACCAUUAAUGUCUGCUGCUGAACAGGCUGCUUCCACUCUGUGCCAACAACUGCUGCACAGUCGAGCUGCCGUGCAGUCAGGGGGUCACCAAAAUGGCCAGGCACAGGACCUGACCGAGGCAAAUAGGAGUUUGACCAAACUAGAGAAAGAGUUGGGAGCAUCCCUGCAGGGGAUGGAUCUGCGUGAGGAUAUGGAGCUCAUCACUCCGAUGAUGCUGAAAGUAGAGAUGCCAGACAUCGACUUCGACGUCCUCCGUACAAUUUUGGAAGAAUCACCCAACCCUCUAGCUCCUCCCAACGUUCCUGCUGCGACAGGGUCGAACAGCCAACAUAAGGCAGUGAGAAGUGGGAGCAGUGGGAGCACACCACUGGGAGCAGCUUCACCCAGCUUCCACCAGCCAUUAAUGUCUGCUGCUGAACAGGCUGCUUCCACUUUGUGCCAACAACUGCUGCACAGUCAAGCCAUCCUGCAGUCAAGAGUUCACCAAAAUGGCCAAACAGGUUCCCACAGCCUGGGACAGGACCUGGGCACAACACAUCCGACUCUGAGCAGACUGGAGACAGAGUUAGGAGCAUCAAUGCAAGCGAUGGAUCUACACGAAGAUUUAGAACUCAUCACUCAUAGGAUUUUGAAAGGAGAGUUGCCGGAUGUUGAUUUUGAGGUGCUCCGUAAAAUUCUGGGAGAAUCGCCCAACCCUCUACCUCCUCCUAAUAUUCCUGCUGAGACAGGGUUCAACAGCCAACCUCAGUCAGUGGGAAGUGAAAGUACUGGGAGCAAAACACUGGGAGCAGCUUCAUCCAGCCUCUAUCAGCCAUUAAUGUGUGAUGCGGAACAGGCUGCUUCAAAUUUGUGCCAACAACCGCUGCAUAUACAAACUAUUAUGCAGUCAGGGGGUCAUCAAAAUGGCCAGGCAGGUGCUCACGGCCAGGGACAGUUCCUGCCAUAUCAGCAUCCUGUUUACCACCCUCCAGGAAUAGAUCCCUCAUUCCUUUCAUUAAGGCUAAAUAACGGGGUCUUGCAAAUGCCUGCAAUUGGAGUCGUAAAUGGAGAGGUGGUCUAUGGGGUUCCACCAGAUGUAAAAUUAACAAGUUAUGUGAACCUUUUGCCGCCGUCCCAGAACAACAUCAUGGCAAAUAAGCGAAGGUGUGGGAGCAGUGAGGACGACGGGCGGCCAUACGUUAAGAAGCCGCCUAACGCUUUCAUGCUGUUUAUGAGGGAAAACAGGGCAAAGGUCGCCGCUAAUCACAGUGCAGCCGCCAAUUCCCUCCUCGGACAAAUGUGGAAGUCGAUAUCAAAAGAGGACCGAGUCAAAUAUAAAGAAAAGGCAGAAAAGGAGAAGCUGCUCCACAUAAUGCGGUUUCCCGACUGGUCGUGCAAAGACAACUACGGAAAGAAGAGAAGGAGGAUCAGGAAGAAGCUUCCCAACAUAACUAUAGACAUGAGCUGGACUUUCACCAAAAGGGGGAGCCUCUCAGUAAAAUUGCGGGUACAUCGGUUGUGAUGAGAGUGUCCUGCAGCUCAGUGUGUCUGUGGAGAGGAGAGACAACAGCUGCAAGCAACUUUUUGGACGACCCUCCAUUUGAGAAAGGCCGCGUCACCAUCAGACCCUGACAUCAACCAGACGGUGGUUAUGGACACUUCUGCCCCAGACCUCAGUGACGACACAAGUGUGUAGUGAGGGGUCCAUCAAAACAGAAAUACAGCACUUUUUGGGGCCAGAUGGUUCAGACCGGGUUCAGACUAAUAUCCACAAAUGAUUUGUCGAGCUCGGGGUUUGGCUUGGACGUGACAAUGUUCAAAUUUUUUUUUUUUUUUUUUAA